rnacentral:rRNA from 2 species
CUGAACUUAAGCAUAUCAUAA